rnacentral:rRNA from 1 species
GACGAACGCUGGCGGCGUGCUUAACACAUGCAAGUCGAGCGACGCUCUUCCUUCGGGGAGAUGACGGAGCGGCGAACGGGUGAGUAACACGUGGGCAACCUGCCCCUAGCUCUGGGACAACACCGGGAAACCGGUGCUAAUACCGGAUACGACAUCGAGCGGCAUCUCUCGAUGUGGAAAGUUUUUUCGGCUAGGGAUGGGCCCGCGGCCUAUCAGCUUGUUGGUGGGGUAAUGGCCCACCAAGGCGACGACGGGUAGCCGGCCUGAGAGGGCGACCGGCCACACCGGGACUGAGACACGGCCCAGACUCCUACGGGAGGCAGCAGUGGGGAAUAUUGCGCAAUGGGCGAAAGCCUGACGCAGCGACGCCGCGUGAGGGAUGACGGCCUUCGGGUUGUAAACCUCUUUCAGCAGGGACGAAUUCAGACGGUACCUGCAGAAGAAGCACCGGCCAACUACGUG